rnacentral:lncRNA from 1 species
UGAGAAGAACAUGGAAACAAGAACUGAAGCUUAUCUAAAGGAUAUGGUGUUCCCCAACAUAUCAAAAUCAAUAGCAGUUCUUCAUCGUUGCGAAACACUCUUGCCUGCAGCAGAAGAUAUCAACCUGGUUAGCAGGCUCAUCAAUGCAAUUGCAAACAAUGCGUGCAAGGAGCAGCUCACCUCUGGCUUACAGAAACUUGACCACAACUUUCCUUCAAAAGUAGCUUCUUUGGAACCUGAAACGCCCUCGGAUUGGUGGGGAAAAGCACUUUCAGUGCUUAGUCUUGACUUCUUCCAAAGGGUUUUAUCUGC